AAAAAUAAAAAUCGCCGGAGCGGCCCUUGGCGCUUCUGCUUUGCAUUUUGAAGGAUGAUUUGGGGUUUUGUUUUCCCUGAGCUCCUAUGUGGCUGUAAGUUCCACCACCCUAAACCCACCCGCCAAGGACCCUGAAUCUGUCCACUCCAGGCUCAACGAGACCUUCCGGCUUCCCCAAUUUGGGCAGAUUUUGCGCCUCCAACAACCUUAGCGUGAUGUCUUAUCUUAAGCUACCGCCUUACGCAGUCAGUGGGCUGAGUCUGACCACCUCGGGCAUGGAUGGACUUGCUGCCCCCCUCGGUGGGCUACCCUGGGCCCUGGGUUUCUUGUCCCGCAGCCACCCCUCGGAAACAGCGCCGAGAAAGGAUGACAUUCACCCGGGCACAGCUUGACGUGCUGGAAGCACUGUUUGCCAAGACGCGGCACCCAGGCUUCUUUCUUCGUGCGGGAGGAGGUGGCCCUGAAAAUCAACUUGCCCAAGUCCAGGGUGCAGGUAUGGUUUAAGAAUCAAAGAGCUAAAUGCCGCCAACAGCAGCAGCAGCAGCAACAGAAUGGAGGUCAAAGCAAAGUGAAACCUGCCAAAAAGAAGAUAUCACCGGCUUGGGAAGUGAAUUCAGAGAGUGGAACAAGUGGCCAGUUCACUCUCCCCUCUAGCACCUCAGUCCCGGCCAUUUCCAGCAGCAGUGCUCCAGUGUCUAUCUGGAGUCCAGCUUCCAUCUCCCCACUGUCAGAUCCCUUGUCCACCUCCGCUUCCUGCAUGCAGAGGUCCUAUCCCAUGACCUAUACUCAGGCUUCAGCUUAUAGUCAAGGAUAUGCUGGCUCAACUUCCUACUUUGGGGGCAUGGACUGUGGAUCUUACUUGACCCCUAUGUAUCACCAGCUUCCUGGACCAGGGGCCACAUUCAGCUCCAUGGGUACCAAUGCAGUCACCAGCCACCUCAACCAGUCCCCAGCUUCUCUUUCCACCCAGGGAUAUGGAGCCUCAAGCCUGGGUUUUAACUCGACCACUGAUUGCUUGCAUUAUAAGGACCAAACUGCCUCCUGGAAGCUUAACUUGAAUGCUGACUGCUUGGAUUAUAAAGAUCAGACAUCCUCGUGGAAAUUCCAGGUUUUGUGAAGAUGUGUAGAACCUCUUUUUGCGGGUGAUUUAAAAGAAAAAAAAAUACUGGGCUGGACAUUCCCGUUUUAGCCAGCCAUUGGUUAAAAAGUUAGAGGGGAUGAUGCUCAGACUCCUCUUCUGAUCAAAGUUCCGGGAGGCAGAGAAAGAAAAUGAAGGGUCUUAGAGGAGCCUGCCAACCAGCAACCUGAAAUGGACAAACCAAUCUAUUUAAGACCCUGUCCUAGUUUUAGAUCAUUGGUUUUCCUAAUUUCCAAAGUGAUUUAAAAAAAAAAAUGUUCUAGCCAGGUACAACCAGACACCACCAAAAAUAAAAUCAAAUCAAGCUACUAUGGGCGGGAAGGUCAUCCAGAGCCUUCUUAAACAGGUAUUCCAAUGUUUUAGCCAAUCCUUGGUUGAAUUUUAGGAAUGGACAGUGUCUCAAGCUCAUUCAUGUUUCAUGACCAACUGGUAGUUGGCACUGAAAAACUUUUCAGGGCUGUGUGAAUUGUCCGACUGAUUGUCCAGACGCACCACUCUAUUUAAAAAAAAUGUUCAUAAGGAGUCAAUAUGUAGUUUAAGAGACAAUCAGUGUGUCACUUAUAUAAAUGGUACAUCUG